CCCGAUGAGCUCUACGGAAGCUGAGGAGGCCAGCGUGUGUUCUGGACGAGCUAAUGGAACCGCAUUAAGCUUUGCAGUGGACUGAGCUGGGGAGUAGGGGCCACAGAAGUCCUGAAUAGAUAUCAGCUCAUCUUGUUCAGGAGUAAAUCUAUAACCCAUGGAUGGAGUUGAAUGAUAUCAUUUGAGAAUAAAAGAUCCCAAGGUGUGUGAUGAAAUCUGAG
rnacentral:lncRNA from 1 species